UUGGAGGGCAAGUCUGGUGCCAGCAGCCGCGGUAAUUCCAGCUCCAAUAGCGUAUAUUAAAGUUGUUGCAGUUAAAAAGCUCGUAGUUGAAUUUCGGGGUUAGUAGGUUGGUCAUGCCUCUGGUAUGUACUGGUCUCACUGAUUCCUCCUUCCUGAUGAGCCGUAAUGCCAUUAAUUUGGUGUUGCGGGGAAUUUGGACUGUUACUUUGAAAAAAUUAGAGUGUUUAAAGCAAGCUAACGCUUGAAUACAUUAGCAUGGAAUAAUGAAAUAGGACGUUCGAUCCUAUUUUGUUGGUUUCUAGGAUUGACGUAAUGAUUAAUAGGGAUAGUUGGGGGCAUUAGUAUUCAAUUGUCAGAGGUGAAAUUCUUGGAUUUAUUGAAGACUAACUACUGCGAAAGCAUUUGCCAAGGAUGUUUUCAUUAAUCAAGAACGAAAGUUAGGGGAUCGAAGACGAUCAGAUACCGUCGUAGUCUUAACCAUAAACUAUGCCGACUAGGGAUCGGAUGAUGUUAAUUUUUUAAUGACUCAUUUGGCGCCUUACGGGAAAC
rnacentral:rRNA from 1 species